rnacentral:lncRNA from 1 species
AAAAGGGGUGUGCUGGGAGGGUUAUGGUUUGGCAGGAGGAAUGAGAUAGGAAGGAAGCUGUGUCCAGUAGUAGAGAUGAAGUCUGAACGUUCUACUUGCUGGUGCUUGCCCAAUAUUUCUUCAUAUUGACUGGAUUGUGUCUCGCAAAUGCUGCUAAUCCAAUGAACACUGGUAAAACAGAAUUCCCAGGAAGAACAGAAACUCAGAUUUGGGAGUGCAAGUUUACAAAUGGCUUUUAUUCCCACAGAGGCGCAGAUGAAAACGUAAGAAUUGUGGUAAAAGGAAAACUCAAUUCCUAUCAACACAGAUGAUUGUUCAGACGUGCUGCUGGGAGGAUAGAAGACUAACUUUGUGAGCAACUGAACUAUUGGAACCUGUUUCCCUAUGAAUUUAUCUUAUUUUUUCCCUGAAAAUGACUCUAAUUCCACCUGCAAUAAAUGUAACUAUGCAUAUUUGUAACAGUGUAAUAAAUGUAAUAAUAUGAACAUACCUGCCCUGACUGAUUAGCCUAUUUUUUUUUUCUGUUCCUUGGCUGGCUGAUUGUUGUUGACAGAAGGCAUAAUAGCUCAGUUCUACUCAUAUUUUCUUUAGUGGAAGUAUUCUUUUUGUAUUUUUCCCCUAGCUAUUUGCCAAUAUUCAGAAAAGUUGUAGAAAUUUAAUUAUCCUUCAAAUUUCACCUCCUCUUUUGCGCAGGAACUGACAGACAGACUGACCAUAUUAGUCUCAUCUUCUUCUAAAAGGAGAAGUAAAGAAAGUAAAAUGCAGAGAGAUCUGAAGCAAAUCCCUUCAGUUUCUUUCCUUCACUCGCUUUCUCUUAUUUGCCAUUUACACCUUUCCAUGUAUUUGAAGUUCACUCAGUUUUAAGAUAAUUGCAAUUUUUAAGAUGAAUACUAAACUACAUUAUAUGUUAAGUGGUGACUUGUACUUCAUGCAUUUUUCAUUAUAAAUCACAUUAUUUCUCUGGCUUGUUUACAAGAAAAAAAUCUAAGUGGUUCUAAUCCUUCCAUUACCUUCUGUUCCAGGUGUCAGUAUUUCAGUAGACCUUAGUAUCAGCAAUUGAUUAAAAGCUAAAUAUUCAGUAUUGUUAUAUGUUUGGCAGAAUGGAACAUGUAAAGUGAACUAACAAAGCAUAACAUGUAAGUACUAAAAAAGGUUGAGGAAGCACUGUUAACAGCAGAUUUGAAAAAAGAAAAAUAAGUCACUUGACCAUCAAGUAGAUCUUUUUGAGGAAGGUAGGAUUUCUAUAAUGCAUUUUCUUUGUUGCAUUCACC